AGCACAAACCAACUGCAAUUGGACCGAUCAAUCAUGCAAAGAAGAAGAAUUUACCAUUCUCUUCCUCUCCAGGCUCUGUAGUGUCGAAUUCCAGGUUCCAAGUGCUCUGCUGGUAAGAAUUGCUCGAGCCCGCAAGAGGGCUGGGCCGAGAUACAAUGCCGUCACUACUCACCAAUUGUCACAGCCCAGAUGCAUUGCGCAAUGGAGCAUCGCCGUGCGAAUCAAGAGCACGAAAUGCAAGUCUUGCGGUGCAAGAAAUUCCUUGCGAUUUGUUUACAGCGAAAGCGG
rnacentral:lncRNA from 1 species